AUUGAACGCUGGCGGCAGGCCUAACACAUGCAAGUCGAGCGAGCGGCGGACGGGUGAGUAAUGUAUGGGAAUCUGCCCGAUGGAGGGGGAUAACUACUGGAAACGGUGGCUAAUACCGCAUACUAUCGGAUGAACCCAUAUGGGAUUAGCUAGUAGGUGGGGUAAAGGCUCACCUAGGCGACGAUCCCUAGCUGGUCUGAGAGGAUGAGCAGCCACACUGGGACUGAGCCACGGUCCAGACUCCUACGGGAGGCAGCAGUGGGGAAUAUUGCACAAUGGGCGCAAGCCUGAUGCAGCCAUGCCGCGUGUAUGAAGAAGGCCUUAGGGUUGUAAAGUACUUUCAGCGAGGAGGCGUUACCCGCAGAAGAAGCACCGGCUAACUCCGUGCCAGCAGCCGCGGUAAUAC
rnacentral:rRNA from 1 species